AAUGUGGCGGGGAAUGAUCAAUAAAUUCGAGGCGCUGGCCAGCGUUCAGACAACAGUUCAACGAUAACUCACUGGAAAGUUCUAUCGUUCUCCGGAGAAGAUUCAAAUAUCUCGAUUAACAAUCGUCAAGAUGCCAGGACCCUGCUGCGACAAGUGCUCCUCCCAGUGCAAGGAUGGCUGCAAAUGUGGGGACAACUGCAAGUGCUGCAGUGGUGGAUGUUCCGACCAGUGCUCCUGCAAGAGCGGAGGCCAAUGCGGCUGUAAACCGUGUGCCUGCAAGUGAACCCUACUGAUGAUUCCACAUUCCACUAUGUAAUCGUUAGUUUAAUUGGAACGGCAACUAUUGUCAUGAAACUAAACAAUCGGCAAGACUGAUGCUCGGAACAAUUUAUUAAAUUUCUUUUGAAAUUGUAUUUUACUGUUGAUUUGAAUUGUUAAUGUUAGAUGGAAAGAAAUAAAUACUUAUAAAAAUCAUUCUGAAAA